rnacentral:rRNA from 1 species
AAGGCAAAGCAGUGAUGCAGAGCAAAUCCCCAAAAGCAGUCUUAGUUCGGAUUGUAGGCUGCAACUCGCCUACAUGAAGUCGGAAUUGCUAGUAAUCGCGCAUCAGCCACGGCGCGGUGAAUACGUUCCCGGGCCUUGUACACACCGCCCGUCAAGCCAUGGAAGCCGGGAGUGCCUGAAGUGCGUGACCGCAAGGAGCGUCCUAAGGCAAUACCGGUGACUGGGGCUAAGUCGUAACAAGGUAGC